GUCCUGAGGUAGACCCACAUCAGCUCAACACUACAGAACUUAGUAGCGGGACACUGGGAGAGACAAUAUGCCAGGGGACACACACCUGGGGCUGCUCUCUGUAGUAGCCUAUUUAUGUGCUUUCAACACCGAGGCUUAUUCAGGGUAGGUUGUCUUUCUCUUAUAUUGUGCUUAACAAAGCUGAGACUUUUACAUUUUUGUUAACAUCAAGUCUUUCUCCAUUCAUCAUCUGAAGUUUUCAACUCGCUCUGCCUGACUGGAGGUUAAAUGCAGAUUAUUACGCAAAGUGUGAUUUUGGCAGUGAUUUGCCAGCAUCCUGCGAUUGGACCUCUGAGGGACCCAUCAGCACUCAGACGGCAACAGAGGAAACUUCUUUCCAUCCUGAGAAUCCAUCUGGUGCAUUUCGUCUCAAGAGUGGAUUUCUUAAGAUCUCGGAAGACUCCUGUUUGGAGUUCUGGUACCAUAGACCUAACAGGAAGAGUUCUGAACUCAGAGUUUUGCUAG
rnacentral:lncRNA from 1 species